rnacentral:rRNA from 1 species
UACGAAGGGGGCUAGCGUUGUUCGGAAUUACUGGGCGUAAAGCGCACGUAGGCGGAUCGAUCAGUCAGGGGUGAAAUCCCAGAGCUCAACUCUGGAACUGCCUUUGAUACUGUCGAUCUAGAGUAUGGAAGAGGUGAGUGGAAUUCUGAGUGUAGAGGUGAAAUUCGUAGAUAUUCGGAGGAACACCAGUGGCGAAGGCGGCUCACUGGACCGGUAUUGACGCUGAGACGCGAAAGCGUGGGGAGCGAACAGG